rnacentral:lncRNA from 1 species
CGCGGGUCCGCAGUGCGGGGAGCGGGGCCGAGGGGCGCAGAUGGCGGCCGGCGCGAGCGAGGGCUGGGCAGCGGGCAGGGCGAGGCCGGGCGAGGCCCCGCGGGAGCCGGACUCCCGAGCCAGGCUCCAUUGUUGUUGGAGCCGAGGAGGGGGAGCGCGGCCGCCCUCGUCGCCCGUGGAGCCGCGCCUUGGAGCCCUUCCAGGCGGGUCCCCGGAGAGGCGGUCAUGGCCGCGCCAGGGGACCGGGGAGCCGGACGGCUGCGGAGGAGCCGGCUGCAUGGGGUGCUAUGUGUUUUUCAGGGCGCCCUGCGUGCGGCAGAGGAGGCGAGCAUCCCGCUCAGGUGAUGAGGAACCCUUCGCGCACCCAGCGCAGAAGGCUGCUGCGGCCGGACGCCUCCAUUGUUUGACCACAACAAGGGCCGGAUUCUCACCCAGACCUGCAAAUCCAAGAGACACAUCUCUGGAAGAUAAGCGAGCUUCUUCCUCAAGACCAAAAAAGGAGAUGGCAUGAUACCCAUGUAGGGAAUUCCCCAAAGCAAGGCUUGCCAUACCUGGACCCCGAGGAGCCUGCUUGCUGGAAAGGCUUUUGUGUCUGAUGUGCAGGAGGCAGAAUGCCAAACUGACUCUUCAAGGGGCAACUGCAGGGGCUCGAGACCAGCCAGCAGUAUCUCAUCCUUCGAUACAGGGGAUAUACUGUACAGUCCUUUUUCUAGAAGUGAGAAGUACAAGAUUGCUCUACAAGAGGAAGAUUCUAGGGGCUCAAAAACAAAAAG